rnacentral:tRNA from 1 species
UGUCGGGUAGAGCAGUGGUAGCUCGGCGGCCUCAUUAGCCGCAGGUCGCAGGUUCGAGUCCUGCCCCGGCCA